AGGACGAACGCUGGCGGCGUGCUUAACACAUGCAAGUCGAACGGUGACCUUGGAGCUUGCUUCAAGUGAGCAGUGGCGAACGGGUGAGUAACACGUGAGUAACCUGCCCCAGACUCUGGGAAUAAGCGCUGGAAACGGCGUCUAAUACCGGAUAUGACACUAAACCGCAGUGGUUAUGGUGUGGUAAAGUUUUUCGGCUGGGAUGGACUCGCGGCCUAUCAGUCUUGUUGGUGAAGGUAAUGGCUCGACCAAGGCAUGGACGGGUA
rnacentral:rRNA from 1 species